rnacentral:rRNA from 1 species
GAUUCUGGCUCAGGAUGAACGCUGGCGGCGUGCCUAACACAUGCAAGUCGAGCGGAGAUAAGUUGAAGCCUAGCGAUUCUUAUCUUAGCGGCGGAUGGGUGAGUAACACGUGGGUAACCUGCCCUGUACUGGGGAAUAACAGCUGGAAACGGCUGUUAAUGCCGCAUAUGCGCACGGAGCCGCAUGACUCCGGGCGGAAAGAUUUAUCGGUACAGGAUGGGCCCGCGCCGGAUUAACUAGUUGGCGGGGUAACGGCCCACCAAGGUGAUGAUCCGUAGCCGACCUGAGAGGGUGACCGGCCACAUUGGGACUGAGACACGGCCCAAACUCCUACGGGAGGCAGCAGUGGGGGAUAUUGCACAAUGGGGGAAACCCUGAUGCAGCGACGCCGCGUGAAGGAUGACGUAUUUCGGUAUGUAAACUUCUAUCAGCGGGGAAGAAGAUGACGGUACCCGACUAAGAAGCCCCGGCUAACUACGUGCCAGCCGCCGC